GAAUUUAACUGUUUGUUUUGUGGGAAAUUCAUAUGCUUAGAUUUUUCUUUCUUAAUAGGCUGAUAUGACCAUGUUAGAAGACGAACUACCAACAAAAAAAUGACUUUCAUCAGCCCUUGUCAAGGUAUAUUGAGAUGAUUUCUUUGGAGCAAUUCUUGACAACAUUUGUAGUUGA